CUCACUUGGCGACCUCGCUCAGAUUUUUCUCACUAUUUUUUUUCCAUGAAUGACAUUUAUCAAAGAUCUGAACAGAAAAAGCAUGUGCUGAAAAGUCCCAAAAAGGGCAACUUUUUCGACUUGUCUCACAGUUACCAAAACUUUUUCAUAUUCUUGUACAAACGUCUGUGUCAAAAACCCGAAAACCUCUAAAGAUUCAUAGCAAAGAAAGAUCCUCCAACUGUAAAAGGGGAACAUCUGCCACUGACAUGAUAUCGGCAAGUUUUAGAUGGAGUAUUUUCGGAUUCGAGGUUGUCACUGUUUUGUUGCAUAGUAAAUCUCAGAAAAGCUGCAACUUUUACCACUAAAAGUCCGAAUUGAAAAAAAAAAUGUGACUGUUAGUAGAUGAUAUGCAGCUCACGAAAGUGAUAAGAAAUCCCUAAAUCAUGUCACAGCACAGGUUCUUUUUGCAUCACUGAAUAGACAGUGUGCAUGCCCUGUGUAACUAGUGUUGCCAUCUAGUGGAGAAGAGGCGGGUCUGUGAUGUAAUGGCGGCGGGGCCAAUCGCUGCGUCAGUGUCAGUGAGUUCUGCCCGAUUCUCCUAAUUUGGGAAACUGGGCAGGAGGUUUUUUGACCUUCUAUUUGAUUAAAAUGGAGACCAUGAGAGAAAGGCUAGUGUUAAUUUGGAGCUUUCUGGAUAAUGGGUUUCCGGAUACAGUCCCAUACCUGUACUAUAGUCCAAGCAUGUGGUCUCUGUACCCACACAAAACAGAGCACACAUAUAUUUUAUGUUGGUGCCAAGCAGAGGAAUUUUUUCAGGCAAUGACUGAUUUGACAACAAGGAAGCUGAUUGAUCCUUUACUAAAAUUGCACUGGUGUGAUGAAUUCAAGACGGAGGAAGGAACAAUAUUGCUUAACUGGUGCUGUUGAAGAAGAUAACCUACAUACACUUCUCAACAGGUGUCAAAGUUUCAUGCCACAAGUGAUAUAUGGGUCCAGACUCAUGGGGCAGGGAAGGAUAUGCAUUGGAAGUUGGCAGCAGAUCCUGGGAGGUGCUACUGACCCCAUUCUCACACUGGUACUGGGAAUUUAGGGUGGAGGAUCCUGUAAUAUUGCGUGUUUCUUGAGAGAAUGGGCUGUGGUUAGAUGACACCUUCUGACGGACUGUGCUCCUUGGGACCACUGGGUACUCUUUGCUAAAGAAAGGACAAAAUUUAGUUAUUGAGUGUUAAGAACUUUAUAAUAACAAUGUUUACAGAUAUCUGGAGUGUGUAGUACAUAUUGUAGUUAAUAUUAUAGGUCAAUGACAAAAUUGAAUGAGAAGUAUUCUGCAUUCUGUUAGGCUAUCAAUCUUCUUUAUUAUUUUUUGCUUUCCUAUUUUGACUGUAAAUUUUUAGAAAAAAAAAGUCCAAAUCCACACAGGUCACUUGCAGCACGGUGGAGGGAGGGUUAAUGCAAAUAAAAAGUUUGUUAAAAUGAUGUGGCAAAAUAAUGACCAGAAUCCAAAUCCCAAUUUAAGUAUUUAAACCUAAGUAAAAUUAAAACCAUCUAAAAAGCAAAAACAGCCACAAUCAGCUGACUAAUCACAUGACUACAAAAGUUUGGAUUCGGCUUGUCCUGAAUUUGAUACACACAUAAUUUUAUUUGUUUUUGUUAAACAUAGUGAUAUGCUGUUGUUAGAACAUUAGCACACAUCUUAUCUUAGAUGUAGCAAGGCAGUUCCUCAUUAAUGAAACUUAGGGCCAGGUUUAGUUUAGUGAGAAAACGUUAUUUUAUGGUUUAUCACGUGAAAACCUAUGGGCCAAGAUUCAAUUUGAGAUGCAAUUCAAUUCAGAAAAAC